GGUUGAUCCUGCCAGUAGUCAUAUGCUUGUCUUAAAGAUUAAGCCAUGCAUGUCUAAGUAUAAGUAUCAUACAGCGAAACUGCGAAUGGCUCAUUAAAUCAGUUAUAGUUUAUUUGAUAAUCAAAGUUCUACAUGGAUAACUGUGGUAAUUCUAGAGCUAAUACAUGCUGUCAAGCCUGACUUCUGGAAAGGUUGUAUUUAUUAGAUAUCAAACCAUCAUUGGUGAUGAUUCAUAGUAACUGAUCGAAUCGCAGUCCGCUGCGAUAAAUCAUUCAAGUUUCUGCCCUAUCAG
rnacentral:rRNA from 1 species